UCGAUUAUUCCCACCCUCUAUACGAGGGUGGGCUGACGCGUGUUCUGAAAACACCCGAAACCCGCCCACCGAGGCGGGUUUU
rnacentral:sRNA from 1 species